AAAACACAGAAGACGCUCAAAAACCAACAAACUAAACAUUAUGUUGUGCUGAACGUAGUCAGACCCUACUGAAGAUUAUUUUAAUGAUUUUAAUGUAUACUGAAGACAAUUAUAUUGCUUAAACAUUGUGAAAAGGAGCCUGAAGAAAUGGCGAGCAGAACACAAACAGACACAUUUCACCCAGAUUUCGCUGUGUCUUCGCUUGUCUCUUUGUCUGAGGAACCCAAAUCAGCACUUCGGCUCGUUUUGCUGGGUGGUGAUUGUGCUGAUAACAGUUACGCAGCUGACGUUAUACUCAGGUCUGAUAAUAGGAAGGAAACAAGCAAUCCAAAGAAAGGCAACGUUAGAGACAGACUUGUUGAUGGAAGGCAGGUCUCUGUAUCUGUGGCUCCUUCCUACUGGAUGAACCACUUGGCCUCAUAUUGGUUUUCUCAAAUGGAGUCGAGUCCAUCAGAGACGAGGUUCAAAACUGUACAUCACUAACGUUUCCUGGCCCUCACGCCUUCCUGCUAGUGAUGCGAGCUGGACAUACUACUGGGAAAGAACAUCAUCUUUUAAAAGCGAUAACCUACAUGUUUGGAGCUGAGGCUUUAGAGUACACUAUGGUAUUAUUCGUGUAUGGACAUGAAUGGGAAAAUCCAACGGAUGCCCUAAAGAACCGCUGUGUGAAGAUGUGUGGAGCACGAUAUUACUUUUUGGAGAACAGUGAUGAGAAUGUCCAGGAGCUUUUCAGAAGUGUCGAGGGAAUGACACGGAGGAAAAAAAGCAGAUUUUUUAUUCAGCACUCAUACGAAAACCUCAUGAAGAUGUAUUUUGAACCCUGGGAAAGGGCUCGGGAGAACAAGGAAAACGAAUUAAAAAGAGAACUGGAAGAACUGAAGACAGAACAACGUCUGAGGGAGGACAUGUUAAAGACAGAACUUAAGACACUCAGAAAAACUGUGAGAGAUUUGAGGAAGAAGGUGGAAGAACCGAGACAUCGCGAGAGUUUGUUACAGAAGGAUUUGGACAGAGUUCGGUGUAGUGAGAAACCAUUAAGACAGGGGGUGUAUGAAUUACAAGGAAGUGAAGCAAAACACUUGAAUCCUGUACGGCGCAACAGCAAAGAGAUUGUACAACCACUCAUGCCAGAAAAUAAGAACAAGCCUCUAGAUGACCAUUAGAUGACCUGAAAGAAAUUUAAUUAAAUGAACUUUUUAUCCAGAAGCGGCAGAACAGAGGUUUCAAACUCCAGAUGAUUCAGGGCUCUGCACCAGACAAAAAACGACGUGAGAAUCUCCACCAACCAACCAUAAUAUGCAAUUUGACACAUAGCUUUUAACAUUAGGAAUAUUUUAGGAAUAUUGGAUAGGAAUGUUUCAGCAUUAACCUGCCAGAUCUUUAAAUCCUCCAGACGUAGUGACCGUUCAUUCAAUCACCACCACACGCAUUCUGCACAAGCUAUCAUCAGGGAAACAUUGUUGAUAAGGAUAGCUGAUGUUGUUUAUGCUGCAUUCGACUUACUUCAGAAGUUGGAAAUUAGUGCUCAGAAUAAGGUCAUUUUCAACCUCUGUGCAUUUGAGCUACAAAUUGGAAAAAAAUAACAACAUCACAUGGACAGCCUGAGCCGUAUCUCCCUGCAGUUCUUGACUGGUUUUCCACUGAAGCAAAGCAGGGUUGAGACUGGCCAGUACCUGGAUGGGAGAACUUCUGGGGAAAACUAAGGUUGCUGCUGGAAGUGGUAUUAGUGAGGAUAGCAGGGGGCACUCUCCCUGUGGUCUGUGUGGGGCCUUAUGCCCCAGUAUAGUGAUAGGGACACUAUACUGUUUUAAAAAAAAACAGCAAUGUCUUUCGGAUGAGACGUUAAACUGAGGUCCUGACUUUCUGUGGUCGUUAAAAAAACCGAGGACACUUAUAGUAAAACAGUAGGGGUAUAACCCCGGUGUCCUGGUGAAAUUCCCCUAUUGGCCCUUCUCUAUCAUGGCCUUCUAAUAAUCCCCAUCUCUGAAUUGGCUACAUCACUCCCUCCUUUCCACUAAUAACUGGUGGGUGGUGUGCGUUCUGGCGCACUAUGGUCGCCGUCGCAUCAUCUAGGUGGAUGCUACACACUAGUGGUGGUUAAGGAGACCCCCCCCCCCCCCCCCACCAAUACUAUGUAAAGCACUUUGAGUGUCUAGAAAAGCGUUAUAUAAAUGUAACUGUAACUAACUAAUGAACUAACCUUCAUGUUUAGUUUUUGUUAUCAACUAGCUAGCCAGCAAACUGUGAUGAGUGAUGUAUAUUUUCCUCCCCAAAACAAUGACCUGUAUAGUCAGUGUUAUAUUUUUUACUGCUGAUGCUGUGCGCUACCAUGUUGGUUUGAUGUCUCUUGUUAAAUUUGGAGGAACUCAGAAUUGAGAAG
ensembl:lncRNA